rnacentral:rRNA from 1 species
GAUGAACGCUAGCGGCAGGCCUAAUACAUGCAAGUCGAACGGUGUCUUCGGACAUAGUGGCGCACGGGUGCGUAACACGUAUGCAACCUACCUUACAUUGGGGGAUAGCCUUUCGAAAGGGAGAUUAAUACCGCAUAAGACAGUAGCUGGGCAUCCAGCAGCUGUUAAAGAUUUGUCGAUGUAAGCUGGGCAUGCGUCCAAUUAGCUAGUUGGUGAGGUAACGGCUCACCAAGGCAAUGAUUGGUAGGGGAACUGAGAGGUCAAUCCCCCACACUGGCAAUGAGAUACGGGCCAGACUCCUACGGGAGGCAGCAGUAGGGAAUAUUGGGCAAUGGACGCAAGUCUGACCCAGCCAUGCCGCGUGCAGGAUGAAGGCGUUAUGCGUUGUAAACUGCUUUUAUACAGGAAGAAACGACUCUUGCGAGAGGCAUUGACGGUACUGUAUGAAUAAGCACCGGCUAACUCCGUGCCAGCCGCCGCGGUAAUAC